GUGGCCUUAGCUCAGUUGGUAGAGCACCUGACUGUUAAUCAGGUUGUCGCUGGUUCGAGCCCAGCAGGCCACU
rnacentral:tRNA from 1 species